GGAUGUGAGGGCGAUCUGGCUAUGACACCUGUCACCCCAUUGAUCGCCAAGGUUGAUUCUGUUGAUCUGGCUGCUAGGUCAACAUUGCCUUCCUCCCUCACAGCUCCAAUGUGCUUCUCUCCCGAAGUUGCGUGCUCAGUUGAAGAGGAUGACCUUCCCUGAAUAGUGGAGGAUCAGUCUUCAGUCAAGGGUAUACGAGUAGCUCCCCUGCUAGAACCGCCAAACAAGCUCUCAAGGUCCAAGUGUGAAUGAAUGUAAUAGGUUCACACCCUGGUGAGUACAAAGCCCAACCAAAAUGGACACGAAAUUU
rnacentral:snRNA from 1 species